ensembl:lncRNA
UUACUGAGAUGGACAAAACCCCUGAACAGUAAUGAUACAAUGGAAGUUGGUCAAAAGGAGAAGCUCCUUUGGACCAGAUUCGGUGCUCUUCAGCCAGUUUCAGGACCUGUAAAUGCCACUCAAUGAACAUGAUGGACAGUUAAAGAAUAACAAUUUUGCAGAACGAGUGUUAACUAUGACCCGAGGGUAAAGACAGACUUCUGACCGUGCACCCAAAUGUGAGAAGGCGGUCAUUAUCAGGAUGUCUCCAGCAUAACAAAGGUAAAGUGAGUUCACAGUGACUCCAGAGGAGGGUGUUUUAGUACUAGUAGACCAAAUACUGAAGAAAAAAGAAUUCCUGAUGCAAGGAGGGGUACAUGCAUACUCAUGCCCAGGAUGAGAAGAAGGUCAUGAUGUUAAGCUGGCAAAGGAGUGGGUUUGGUAAAGGAAAUGG